UUUACAUUCCUGCAGCUCUGUCUUUCUCAGAAAGAAGAUGGGUGUGGGGAGGUGACCAUUCUAACAUACCCUCCCAUGAAGAGGGUAGAGCUCUGCCUGGACCAGGUGCAGGGUGGGCUGCAGCAUUUCUGAUAUGUAACACCCCAUCCAGGAAAAAGUGCAUUUAUUCACUUUUCUGACUGAGCAGGAAAUGAUAGGCUCCAAUGGAGGAGCUACUGGGGACUGUAGUUGUCCUAGAGGUGGGGGUAGGUUGUGGGUAGUGGAGAGGUGAGGAGGAAAAGAAGGGAGCAGGGAGGAGAGCAGGACCAGAGAUAGGAGGCUGCAGGAGGGGAACUCUUCUAGCUUCAGUUGGACUUCAUUCUCCUGGACUCCAAAUGGAAAAUAGAACUGAAAACCCAUGAUUAAAAAAUGCAAUACAUGCUAAGAAACUCUCAAGUAAUUUACACCAGGCAUUAAAAUGUUUUGCAUGAGAAUAUAGUAUGAUGUAGACAACCCAAGAAUUAUGUCUUUCAUUAAAAGGUUUGCAACUCAGUGUGCUGUGAUAUAACUAUAGCAGUUUUUCUGUCUUGGUGAUGGUUUUUUAUUUUAAACACUGCCUUACAAACCAGGGAAUGCAAGUGCAUCGGGAACACUCAGCCUCUGCAUUUUAACUUAUUGUCACCUCUUCCUAUACACUUCUCUUCGGCCCUUUACCUGCUAGUGCCAGGGUGAAAGGUGAAUAGUUAUACUGCCAUUGCCCCUCAACCCCAUGGAUCCUGAACCCUGCUAUAAAGUAAACUGUCAUUUCUUUCUUCAUUAUUCAAAGUUAGCAUUGGCUAGUUCAAAGCCCAUUGGAGAUUAUGUACCAGGAAUGAUCUACAUUAAGGUUGGGAUUAAAGGAAAAUCAGUUACAUGAAAGAAAGGUGUUUUUGCCACAAAUCUUGUGUGUGCAUGUCAAGAAGUAUAUUCAUUGCCUAAUUUGAAAAGAAACCAGGACAACUCCCCGAGAUAUAUACCUGCAUCUGGCCAGUCUUUCCAUAAAGACACUUUCUGUUUGAAGUUUGCCUGUGAAGUUAGAGGAAAAACAUUUCUCCCUGACAAGCACAUGCAGAGUAAUCAAAGAAUAAUAAAUAAACAAAUAAUGUUAGGUGUAAUUUCGAUUUUAGGUACUCAUGAGGGAUAAAAUCAAAAGUUGAUUUAUCCUGAACAUGUUUAGAUGGGGCAAGAAAGCUGCAUUUACAAGUAAGGCUGACAGAUUUAGGUUGGCUCUCAGGAGAGGUUGGAUGAACUUGCAAAAUCUCUUCUAAACCGAUGAUUGAAUAAAUUUAUCAAUUAUUCCCUGUUUUUCAUGAUCUUGCCAGCCUGAUUAGAGCAAUCAUUUGCUGAUUUGAUAUAAAUCUUGGUGACGCCAAUGUGAAUCAAGGGGCCCACAACGGGCUGGGCAUUAAAUUAGGUGCUUUUUAUGAAUCAUUCCAUUUAAUCCUCAAAUCAGUCCCUUGAUUCAGAUAUUAUAAGUUUCUACUGUGCAACAUCUUCUGCAGCAUAAUUUAUCACAUGGAGCAUACAUUAGACUAUUUUUAAAUCUGGCAACUGAGGUCUCAGAUCUGAUGCAAUGCCGAAUUUGAAAUUACUGAGAUUAUGUUCUGUGCAAUGUCUGAACACUGUGAGCUAAUACACAGAAAACAACAAAAAUUAAUAAUGCCUGGUAGUUCCUGUCAUGGCUCAGAGGUAAUGGACCUGACUAGUAUCCACAAGGACAUGGGCUCCAUCGCUGGCCUUGCUCAGUGGGUUAAGGAUCUGGCAUUGCCAUGAGCUGUGGUGUAGGUUGCAGAUGUGGCUUGGAUCUGGCGUUGCUAUGGCUGUGGUGUAGGCCAGCAGCUGUAGCUCCAAUUAGACCCCUAGCCUGGGAACUUCCAUGUGAGGCCUUAAAAAGUAAAACAAA
rnacentral:lncRNA from 1 species